rnacentral:rRNA from 1 species
ACUCGGCUGGGCGAAGCCUGACCGCAAUGCCUGCUGUGCAGGAAGAAGGCCUUCGGGUUGUAAACUGCUUUUGUACGGAACGAAACGGUCUGCCCUAAUACGGUGGGCUAAUGACGGUACCGUAAGAAUAAGCACCGGCUAACUACGUGCCAGCAGCCGCGGUAAUACGUAGGGUGCGAGCGUUAAUCGGAAUUACUGGGCGAAAAGCGUGCGCAGGCGGUUCUAUAAGACAGAUGUGAAAUCCCCGGGCUCAACCUGGGAAUGGCAUUUGUGACUGUAGAGCUAGAGUACGGUAGAGGGGGAUGGAAUUCCGCGUGUAGCAGUGAAAUGCGGGGGAUAUGCGGAGGAACACCGAUGGCGAAGGCAAUCCCCUGGACCUGUACUGACGCUCAUGCACGAAAG